rnacentral:rRNA from 1 species
UACGGUAGGGGGCAAGCGUUGUCCGGAAUCAUUGGGCGUAAAGGGCUCGUAGGCGGCCAACUAAGUCGGACGUGAAAUCCCCAGGCUCAACCUGGGAACUGCGUCCGAUACUGGAUGGCUUGAAUCCGGGAGAGGGAUGCAGAAUUCCGAGGUGUAGCGGUGAAAUGCGUAGAUAUCUGGAGGAAUACCGGUGGCGAAGGCGGCAUCCUGGACCGGCAUUGACGCUGAGGCGCGAAAAGCGUGGGGAGCAACAGGG